ACGGGGUGUAGCUGCAGGGUGAAGGGGUGUGUCCCUGAGAUGCGUCCUGCGGGAGGCGGGCAGCUGGCAUGUUGCAAAGACCCUGGCGGGGCGCCGAGGUGGUGGGUCUCGCCGAGAAGUGGAGCAGCUGGCACUGCCCACAGCACUCCCACCUGCUCUCCCUCCCGCAGAGAGGCCUGCAGCGGGCCGGUGGGGGCCGGUGGGGCAGACACGGGCAGCUCGGAACCAGACCUCCAGUCUUCAGGCAGUGAGCCUCGGCGUCACGGGGACAUCGCCUAGGACGCUGGGUGUCAGGAGCGUCGUGUUGAAGGUCACAUGCACGUUUGUCAGAGCCACAGCUUGCGGGGCCACGAAAGGAUCUUCGGAAGACACUGCAGCGGCGCUUGUCAGCCUUCCUGGCCUCCGUCAAACAGGAUGUGUCUCGUGCUCUGUCUGCCGUGCGAGGCCUGAACCGCAGUGCUGAAGAGGGAGAGGACGCCCCUGUCGUCGGUUACGCCCACCGGUGGGGCCUGCACACCCUCUCCUGCUGGGCCCCAAGAUGAGUCACUCACGAGCUCUUAGGCUUCGUUGUCAACAGUAGCUAAAGAGUCCUGCGACUCGAGGUUGUCCUGAGGGUCUCGCUGUUGGCGAGGUCAGGGAGUGAGGACUCCACGCUGGCGGCGCUCGACGGGACCUGCCCAGCACAGGGGCCGCUCUACCGGGGCGCUCGGGGAUUUCCUGUGAAGUCGGGGACCUUGGGUUUGAGUUCUGAAGCACGAAUAAAGUUCAGACUGAUGCACCAGCGUGUGGGCAUCAGCGAAACCCUGGGAGAGCAUGUCACGUUGUGGUCACUCGGGGCACGUCCUCCCCCCCUGGGUGAGGGCAGGCGGCUUUCCCACGGUGCAGACUGCCCCUUGUGGGCGGCAAACCACUAACGGCUUUCGCACUGCUCAGAUCUCACAGCCGGCAAAGGUGCCGAGAGCGGCAGAUGUGGAAAUGAGAAGGGACACAAUUAGGGGGCCUGGGUUGGGGCCACCCUGGGCCCCCGGCGGCAGUUGCCCACUGAAGGGCACCAGCCUGGGCACCGUGUAUUUCACAUCCAGCCAUGCCCUUUCCUGGCCAGUUUGACAAACGCGGGCGCUGCUGGCCUCGCUCGCCAAGGACACCCUGGCGCUGCCGAGGUAGAGCCAGCCAAGGGGCCUUUCCUCGUUUGUGCCGGUGGCCGAGCUCCCUGUAAACCCUGCGGGCUGUCCCGGCCCUGCUUCGCUGGGCUCGUCCCUCUAGCGGGCCACGCAAGUAGGGUCAACCUGGAGCCAGGCACGGGCCCUGGACACUGCUGACCUGUCCAGCUGAGCCUUGCUUGGGAGAUCUUGCCAGCCACACCUUGGGGAACCCAACCUGGUACCCCAGUCUAGUGCCUCAGACU